AGUACAUAGAAUACGUUAGGUGUUUCAUAUGAAACUUAAUUGGGAAAGUGGUGAAAACCCACUGCAGCCCCCGCUACUGUAAGUGCAGAUGAACUCGACAAAAGCCACUAGAUCAAUCUGGGAAGGCGUCGAUAGUAAGGUGAAGCACAAGUCAGGAGACCAGCCUAAAGUAAGAAUCAGCC
rnacentral:ncRNA from 2 species